GUUCAACAAGCUCAUCCGGGUCGAAUCCUGAUGGGAGAUAUUGUAGAGGAUAACCUCUCCAUUCAAGAAAUCUCAAGGAAUUAGGGAGACGGUUGAGGCCUUCAGGAAGGUGCAUGUUAUGGACUUUGAGCAAUCGAAGAUUAACCAUCUGAGAAAAAGCUUCAGGAUGGCAUUCGACCUCUUUUGUUUCAAGCAAGUCUAGGACAAUGCCUUCAACUGUUGGUGUCCCCUGAUAACCAAGAAUAAAAAAAACAAGUGAAUUGCAGUAUAAUAUGCACAUUAUAAGUAAAGGAAGAUGGGUAAAACAAACUGUUUUUUUUUACGUGCCUCUUAAUCGUUAGAUUAAUUUAUAUUUGACGUAUUAGGAAAUCUCUUACCGUUUUUUCCUUCAAAACAUGAAAGAUGUCCUUAGAAAGCCAUAAUCUGCUUCGUCCACCAGGCUGUUUAGAUUGCUGAACAACAAUUGUUUGACCCAUUUUUUGUAACAAAUCAUGCAUCCGCACCCUGUUAUCUGAAAUUGUUGUCAGGGACUUCUCCAUAAGGACAUCUAUGUCAAUACCUGGAUUAAAACCACAACUAUCAAGUAUUUCAAAUACUCGAUCUUUGUCCUCCCCUUUAAAGAAACAUGCGAUGUCAAGGAAAAUCUCUCUCCCUUGCGGAUCUAAUCCCUCGUAACCUGUUUUAAGAAUCUUCAUAAUUUUUUCAUCCAAUGUGAAAUCACCCUCUAGUUUACGCAGUUGACUGCUCCAUGCAUUUAGAUCUCUUCCAUACAAAAAAGACCCCAAGACUUCAAGAGCUAACGGAAGGCCACUGGCAUAGUCCACAAAACUGUCAGACAGAGCCUUAUAACUUUCAGGUGGAUUCUCUCUAGGGAAGGCUCUCAAGUUAAAAAGUUUAAGAGCAUCAACUUUACUCAGCUCCGGCACCUUAAAUCGUCUUUCUACACCAUGUGAAAUUAGCAAGCGUUCAUCUCUAGUCGUAAUAAUGAUUCUACUCCCCUGAUCAAACCAAGCUGGUUUUUCACAUAGCUCUCGUAACUGGAUACUAUCGUCCACGUCAUCAAGAAUGAUGAGAACCUUUUUCUCAAGUAAGAAACUUCUCCAUCUGGCAGCUUCACCGGCAGCCCAGUCUUGUAUAUUUCUUUUCAUAAGGCUAUUGGAAAGCUUCCUCUGUACACAGGCCAUACCGUGUGCCUUAGAAUCCUCUCUAACUCCGUCAUGAAAGCUUUCGGCUUGAAAUUUAUGACGAAUCCUCUCAUAACAUGCUUUGGCAAGGGUUGUCUUGCCUAUCCCACCCAUCCCCCAUAUUCCUAUAAAGAGAACAUCAUUUGACUCUAGUUCUAAAAGCACAUCAAGUUCCUUCAGUUUCGAUUCAAUGUCAACUAGCUUUUCUGCAGGUUCCAAUGAUAAAGGUCCUACUUUAUUCCGUACAUUUUCAAUAAUUUGUUCGAUGACAUCUGGUUCUCUACAAGAAAAAUAGACAAUGUCAAGAUAUGACCUAAUACACAAAGAAAUAAAAGAGCCACAGACUAUUUAUGUUUUUGUCCACCUGAAGUCAUAGUACCAAGUGGUCUCGGCGUUCAUCUAUAAGAGGGUGGUUUGGUAUUGGACCAAAUUAGAGACGGUUUAGGAAAAGGGGAGGACAAAAAAGCGCAGCAGUAUUGGAUUUCAAACAUAUGAAUUCUUAACUGGAUCAUUUUUUUCCCCUUAGACUCUCAAAUGGAUCAAAUAAUGGUAAAAAGAAAGGCUCUCUAGGAUGGAACUGUAGGAAUCAACAGAGUCUACAAAGCCUCAAUGUUUAGUCAUUAAGUUGUAUUGGGAUUAAGUGGUUAUGAAGCACCUUCAUUACUAUGCAAAAAGUAAAUAAUAUGAAUUCUUCGAUUUUCCUGUAAGUUAUCAUGUAUCAGGCUUUAGAAGAAUUGAAUUAUAAAAAAAUUGCAAGAAUGAAGGGUCAAGUACUGAUUGCUAAAGCUUUUGAAUUGAGUGAAAGAGAAAAACAAGUAAUGCCAACCUAUUCUUUGAAGUAGACCCUUUGAUUUUUGCCACUUUUUUUAAGGCAGCUUUCCAUUGUUCCAAAAUCACUUCGGCAUUCUCACACUCUUCGUCAUUCUUACACUUUUGUUCGAGUUCAUCGAAGCCUUUCCCAAAACUCCCAGACCUAUCUCCAACAUCGCAGGGUUCCACCUGGUAGAAAACUGGUAUAAUUGCCCCUCUCUCUUCCAUGCAUUCAAGAAUCUUUACGAGUUCGUUCAGGCACCAUUUUGAAGAAGCGUACUUUGGAGAGAUGACCAUGAUGGCAAGCCUCGACUUUUCAAUUGCCAGGAAGAGUUCAGAAACUUCCCUUCCUAUUUCAAGAUCAUUGUCAUCAAAGAAAGUUCUUGUAAUUCCUUGUUCUUCCAAUUCCUUAAGUAGAUGGGCGGUAAAACCUAAGCGCGUGUCGUCGCCCCUAAAACUCAAAAAGACAUCGUACUGCCAUUCAAGAGCUGAAGGAAGAGAUGAAGUGGCUCGUUGGGUGCUCGAUGCCAUUGAAUACAAGCUAACUGGAAUGGUGGUAUUAGUUUUCCAAGCAAAAACAUGACCAGAAAAACAAUUCAGCAUUCAUAAUAUUGUAUUAGCCAAUAACAUGAACAUAAAUAACCAUGAAUCAGAAGGAUGAGCAAUAACCUGUGUAUGUAAGAAAAUGAAGUCACAGAUCAAGUCAGAUCAAGUCAGAGGGGGCAUGAGAGCCUCAUUGAGAGGGGCUACAAGUCUGUCUGUAUGUCGUCAAGUCCAAUCAAUGCUUAGGUACACCAAGUUGCCUAGUGGCUUCACCGCGGAGGCUUGAUGGACGUGAUUCAACUGCUGCUUCUAUCCGACGGUCAAACCGCGUAAGCUCUAUUUUCCCACUUUUUAUUUUAUUCGUUUGGUGAUUCAACUGCUCCAUUAUUUUAUUUUUGUGUAGCUCCAUUAUUAUUUUUUAUACUAAUGCAGAGCACACCACAGUUGAAUGUUUCUAACAAACACAAAAUUUAAUUGCAUGCACUUCUUUUCUUCCAGAAACACAAAAUUUAAUUCUUUAAGUUGACCCAGUGCGUUUACUUAGACAAUCACCUGUGCGCUAGUUGGGAAAAUUCAUCCUCGGACUCAUCGUCCUCAUGGUUCACAUUCACAAGUGGCACAACUGAAGACUCUGCUCCUCUUACUACAGUUGUAGUUCCUGUCACACUAUUGUCAUGCCGAGAAAUUACACGCUGCAGAUCAUCAUUCAGUGCCAAUCCCUGACAUAGAAGCUCCUCAUCUCUGAGAGGAGAGCAACCACAACUGUCACUAUAGCAUCAAAUCUAUGAGUAGAACUCAAAUCCAUAUCAAAUCACUUACGCAGUCUCAUUCACAAGAAGCCUGACACGCUUUUGGUAUGAACGGCACUGAUCAACAAUCACUUGUUCCUUCAAACCCUGCCAUAGUUUUUCAUUUUGACCAUUUAUGACAGUUAAAUUUGCACAUAUUAAGAGCCCGGAUGGUAAUAUUAUGAUUUUGGUUCAUUUAUUAUAUUUUAGCAAAAGCCAAAGAGGAAUUGUAUGGGAGAAAAGAGGAAAGGGCUCAGAUGGGUGAGCAUGAAAAUGAAUAUGGAACGGUAUUUAAACCAAAAAGCAAAAUCAAUCUCAACUGCUCUAUAUUUCUCUUUCAAGUUUUUAUUUCACCCAUUUCCCAUCAAUCGUCCAUACCUCCUCCCCUUCUACAAGCACAAGAAAAGUGCAGCCCUUAAAGGUACUAAGUUUCGAGUAAUUAACCACCUAAUUCCGACCCUGCUAAAAGUCCCGAUCAGGAUCCUCUCCUGAGCAAAUGAAGCUGAUCCUCUGAUCGGGCCCAUCAGGCCGUUCAAAAUUUAUCCAACAGCUACAAACAGGGGGUUCCACUAAAAGUUAUAAUAAUUGUAGCCGUUGGAUAAAAUUUGAAUGGUCCGAUGGACCCGGUCAGGAGGAUUCUCUCCAUUUGCUCAGGAGAGGAUCCUGAUCCAAAAGUCCCAACUUCAAAAUUUUUUACAACCACAGUAAUUGACACCCAAUUACUAGCCUCCUCCACCUCUGGAUAACUAGCCUUAUAAAUAAAGUUUUGUUAUCAAUAUUUCUCCUCAAAUAAUUUACAUACAGUGCAUGGUAAAGAAAAGUAUGGACCAUAAAUAUUCUCCACAAUUGACCAUAUACAAGUUUCAGAACUUUCAACCGUGGUAAGAGUCCCAUAUGAAACUUUCCCCGCUAGAGAACUCCACACACAAAAACAAAAAAUAGAAUCAUUGGCCUCUCAACAAAAAUAUUUCUAGAAAAACAUAAAUAAGAAAUUAUCCUUUAAUAAUACCUUUUCGGAAAGAAAUUAAUCAGAAAUCUAAAAUAAGGUAGAAAAUAAUAUUACCUCAGGAUUCUUAGGAUCCAAGGCAUUAAGCAUUUCCAUCAACACAUCUGCAAUUCCACGAGCAUUCUGAAUCUCUGGCAAGCUGAUUAAAGACAGUUCCAAUCAGGAUGGAUCUAUCAUAGCUUCAAUUAAAAGGAUGAUUUUUGCAGCAGAAGAACAACAUUGUUACCAUUCAAAUACAAACAUAUAAGACAAUGACAUGUUUCAACUCUUCUUCCAGCCUUGAAAUAGAUUUGGAUGACUAAGAACUCCUAUUCUCAAGCCUUUGGUACAACUAAAGAACCGUAUAUUUAUUCGUAGAUGAUCAAUUGAAACACCCCACAGAUCAAUUAAUUCAAAUAAUAAUUAAAUACUAAUAGUCGCUUUAAAGAAUGUGUUACAUAUACAGAUGAAAAAGAAGAUUCAACAUCAUUACCAUUCAAAUACAAACAUAUAAGACAAUAACAUGUUUUAACUCUUCUUGUAUUGGACGACAAUAUCGUUUAGGAUACUUGCUUGAUUCCCCUUGAUCUUAGGAGUAGAAUUGAUCCGUAUGAAUCAAUGUAAAUUAUCUUUAUUUCCUUCUUAGAAUAGACUUCCUUGUAUUAUAUAAGUCUUGUAUUCUAUUGUAAAAGUGUGAGAAAUAUUCAAAGUUGAUUCCCAGACUUCAUAUUUCUAAACCCUAGCCGAGUUACUUUUCAACAUGGUAUCAGAGCACCGUUUCUGGUGAUGGUGACUCUGAAUACCCACACAGCUUCCGCAAAUCCUGACAAACACAACAUCACCUAAACCACCAUGGGCGAUCCAAUACCUAAGGCGUCCAUUGACACCCAAAACCCUAUGGAGACAUUCACAGAUGUCUCGAACCCUUUUAUUCUACACCCCUCAGAUCAACCUGGGAAUAUCUUGGUCUCCAAAACACUUCAAGGAGACAACUACAAUACCUGGAGUCGUGCUAUGCGAAUCAGCUUGAGCGCGAAAAAUAAACUUGGCAUGGUUGAUGGCACCAUUGACCCUCCAUCAGAGACUGACAAACAAUUUGCAUCAUGGCAAAGAUGCAAUGAUAUGGUUCUUGCCUGGAUUCUCAACUCAGUCCACGAUGACAUUGCGAGCAGCGUUUCUUAUUACACGACAGCAGCCGAUGUUUGGGCUGACCUGCGAGAUCGUUUCUCACAAGGAAACGACUCACGGAUUUAUCAAAUCAAGAGAGAGAUCGUUGAACACAGACAGGAACAACAAUCGAUCUCGGUUUACUACACGAAACUGAAAGCGUUGUGGGAUGAACUGGCAUCCUACAAUGAAACUCCGACUUGCACCUGUGGGGGAUUUAAGAAGAUAAAUGAUCGAGAUGAGAAAGAAAGGGUGAUGCAGUUCCUGAUGGGUUUAAACGACUCUUAUGCAGCAGUACGUGGACAGAUACUAUUGAUGCAGCCACUACCAGACACUCGGAGGGCAUAUUCCCUUGUUCUCCAACAAGAGAAGCAAGUAGAGGUAUCUCUAAAUCGUAACAAUAUAAAUCUGCAUGCUAUGAAUAUAACCCGUAACAGGGAAACUGCUGCACCAAAAGGAAACACCAUUCAAUGCUCAUAUUGUGAUAAAAAAUACCACACCGUGGAUCGAUGCUUUACCUGUAUGGUUUCCCGCCGGGCCAUAAGUAUCAUGGCAAAUCAGUCAAGCCACCAAACAAAAGAAAACCUACGGCAAACCAAGUAACGGUGGAGACCGAGACCACCAAGGGUGUAGACUCACGACACAAGGCGACGUCCAGUGACGGUCCAAAGUUCACCACAGAAGAAUAUAAUCAACUUAUGGCAAUGCUCAAGAAGAGCAACAUUGAUGGUAAUCCGCAGCAUUUUGCAAAUGCAACAGGUACAAUCACACCUUCUUCUAACUUGUCAGAGAAAACUUUAUAUUGGAUCAUUGAUAGUGGGGCAACAGACCAUGUAUCUCCUUCUCCUCAUUUGCUAGACAAGAAGUCAUUAUCCAUGCUGGAUUCUGUUCAAUUGCCGAAUGGAGGACAUGCCUUAAUAGACUCGAUUGGUUCUAUACAAGUUACCCCUACAUUAAACUUGAUGGAGUGCUCCAUGUGCCCAACUUUCGAGUUUACUUAUUAUCUGUUAGCAAACUUAUUGAAGCAUUACGAUGCAUAGUGAUUUUCUUCCCUGAUUUCUGUAUGAUACAGGACAUGGAUACGAGGAGGACGAUUGGCCUGGGCAAGCGAUAUAAUGGGCUUUACUACUUGGCGCCAGAACAAAACCUUCGCCUUGCUCAUCACAUUAGCCGCAACUCCACCCUCUGGCACCAACGAUUAGGGCACCCUUCUACCGGUCCUCUGCAAACUUUAACCAAACAAGUUCCAUCAAUAGUAUUUGAUUCCAGUCAUACAUGUGACAUUUGUCCUCUUGCUAAACAAACCCGGUUAUAUUUUCCAUCUAGUUUUAUUUCUUCUAAAGCACCUUUUGAUUUGAUACAUUGUGAUAUUUGGGGACCUCAUCGAGUCAAUUCCCAUUCGGGGGCUCGGUAUUUUUUAACGAUUGUUGAUGAUUAUUCUUGCUAUACUUGGAUACAUCUCAUGUGUUUUAAAUCUGAAACACAAGGGUUGUUACAUUCUUUUAUUGCUUGGGUCCAAACACAAUUUAAUUGCAUACUUAAAGCACUUAGGGCUGAUAAUGGUGGUGAAUUUACCUCUUUACGUUCUUUUUUUGAUAACAAGGGUAUCAUAUUCCAAACUUCUUGUCCGUCCACACCACAACAAAAUGGGGUUGUUGAACGGAAACACCGUCAUCUCCUAAAUGUUGGUCGAGCUCUACGGUUUCAAGCAAAUUUACCACAAAAUUUUUGGGGGGAAAGCAUACAAACAGCGUGUUAUUUAAUUAAUCGUUUACCUACACCUCUUCUUAGUCAUAAAACUCCUUAUGAGCUUUUGCAUUGUCAAACUCCCGAUUUUUCGCAUCUUCGGGUUUUCGGUUGUUUAUGUUAUGCUACCAACCUCCAUCCUCACCAUAAGUUUGACCAACGUGCUAAAAGAUGUAUUUUUGUUGGGUACCCAUUAGGUCAGAAGGGCUAUCGUGUUUAUGACCUUACCACACACAAAAAUUUUUCCACUCGUGACGUGAUCUUCCAUGAAACCACGUUCCCUUUCUCCACUCAACCACUUGACCAUCACCCUGCUACACAUAUCCUACCUAUCCCCACCGACUCUCUAUCUCAUCCUAAUCCCACACCGCCACCGACUGCACCUCCUUUCCCCACACCGACCGACACCUUUUUAUCCACACCGACAGAAACUGCUCCUCUCACUCCCACAAAACCUUCUCUUCCUAUAGAACCUUCUCUUCUCACACCGACCGAACCUCACUUAGUCUCUCCACCACUUCCUACCCUACCUGCCCCACCUGCCCCACCUGCCCCUCGCCAAUCUGGUCGCGCCCUCAAGCCCUCUGUCAGGCUCCAAGGAUACCAUUUAUAUCAUGUGCAAUCCCUUGCUCCCAGCGCCACGUCCUCCUCCAUGUCAGGUACUCGCUAUCCUUUAUCUCACUAUGUAUCUUAUGCUCAUCUUUCACCAUCGCAUCGUUCUUUUGCUUGUGCUAUUUCGACUCUUGUCGAACCCACUACAUUUCCACAGGCUAACGGUGAUCCUCAAUGGCGUGCUGUCAUGGACUCUGAGCUUCUGGCCCUUGAACAAAACAACACAUGGACUCUCACUACCUUACCUCCUGGUCAUCGCGCAAUCGGUUGCAAAUGGGUCUACAAAAUCAAGUACAACUCUGACGGUACCAUCGAGCGUUAUAAAGCUCGUCUUGUGGCCAAAGGUUUUACUCAACGCGAAGGUAUCGAUUACAAGGAAACUUUUGCUCCUGUUGCCAAACUCAUCACCGUCCGUUGUUUAUUAGCCGUUGCUUCUGUUCGUCAUUGGUCCUUACAUCAAAUGGAUGUUCAUAAUGCCUUCCUUCAUGGUGACCUUUGUGAGGAAGUUUAUAUGCAGCUGCCUCCUGGACUUCAUCGGCAGGGGGAGCAUAAUGUAUGCCGACUCAACAAGUCCCUUUAUGGCCUUAAGCAAGCCUCUCGCAGCUGGUUCCAUAAAUUUUCCACUGCCAUAAGUCAAGCCGGCUACCAGCAGUCAAUGGCUGACUACUCCCUAUUCACUAAGGUGCGUGGAAAUUCGUUUACAGCCGUCUUGCUUUAUGUUGACGACAUGAUUAUCACAGGCAAUGAUGAGGCUGCCAUCCAUGACCUCAAGCAAUUUCUUCAAUCCCAUUUUAGCAUUAAGGACCUUGGACACUUAAAGUAUUUCCUUGGUGUGGAGGUGGCUCGGUCUUCUCAAGGAAUCGCCAUCUCACAACGUAAAUAUACACUUACAUUAUUGAUGAAGCCGGCUUACUUGGUGCAAAGCCUGCAAAGUUCCCAAUGGAAGAAAACUUGAGAUUAUCUCCAACAGAAGGGCAACUUCUCCAUAAUGCCUCACAAUACAGGAGGCUUGUUGGGAAACUUAUUUAUCUCACAAUCACUAGGCCGGAGAUUUCAUACUCGGUCCAUAUACUCAGCCAAUUUAUGCAACAACCAAGAAAGCCUCAUCUAGACGCAGUGCAUCGUCUUCUACGAUACUUAAAGGGACCACCUGGACAAGGGCUUCUUUUUCCUUCAAAUGGGAGUUUAACGUUGAAAGGAUAUUGCGACGCCGAUUGGGCUCGCUGUCCACUUACGAGAAGAUCUGUCACAGGCUAUUGUAUAUUUCUUGGAGGUGCACUAGUAUCUUGGAAAACCAAGAAACAAUCUACCGUUUCGAGAUCCUCAGCUGAAGCAGAGUAUCGUGCCAUGGCUUCAGCUAUAUGUGAGCUUACGUGGAUGAAGUACUUAUUGGCUGAUCUGCAAAUUGAUCACAAGGGUCCGGCAAAGUUACACUGCGACAACCAAGCUGCACUCCACAUAGCUGCCAAUCCAGUUUUUCACGAACGCACCAAACACAUAGAGAUCGACUGCCAUGUUGUUCGUGAACGACUACGUUCUGGGGUUAUUUCGACAGCCUAUGUACCUACUGGACAACAGCUUGUUGAUAUAUUCACCAAGCCACUUGGACAGUCAGCAUUCCGUUCUCUACUUGGCAAGAUGGGUGUUCUUGACAUUCACACUCCACCUUGAGGGGGAGUAUUGGACGACAAUAUCGUUUAGGAUACUUACUUGAUUCCCUUUGAUCUUAGGAGUAGAAUUGAUCCGUAUGAAUCAAUGUAAAUUAUCUUUAUUUCCUUCUUAGAAUAGACUUCCUUGUAUUAUAUAAGUCUUGUAUUCUAUUGUAAAAGUGUGAGAAAUAUUCAAAGUUGAUUCCCAGACUUCAUAUUUCUAAACCCUAGCCGAGUUACUUUUCAACAUCUUGCAACCUUGUAAUAGAUUUGGAUGACUAAGAACUCCUACUCUCAAGCCCUUGGUACUACCAAAGAACUGUAGUUUUCUUCCUAGAUGAUCAAUUGAAACACCCCAGAGAUCAAUUAAUUCAAAUCGUAAUUAAAUUCUAAUAGUGGCUUUAAAGAGUAUAGGCGUGUUAUAUAUAUAGAUGAAAAAAAAGAAUCAACCUAUCAUAUAUACAGGAUGGCAACUUGUUUAGUGAUAGAUUCAGAACAACAGAUAGAAAAAUUUGAAAGAUAAGAUACCUUAAUCAGUGGCGGAUCCACAGUGGGGUCAAUGGGGUCGCACGAUCCCUUGGAAGCCAUGGAAACAACCUUAGAGACCCAUUGGAGCUGCUAGUGCUACCCCUUGAAGCUGCUGGUGCGACCCCUUGGCUGCACACCAAGUGUUCGACGAAAGGUCUGAAAGAACUCUUGGCUGGGCUGGUUGAAGACGAAGACGAAGGCACGCGCCUGUUUUUUUUUUUAAACAACCUAGGCAAAACGAUGUCGUUUUGGCCCAGGAAAUUUUUUUAAAUGACCUGGCCAAAACGAUGUUGUUUCGGGCCAGGUCUGAAUAAAAAAAAAUGUUCAGCGUGUCCUGGGCAGGUCUAAAAAAAAAAAAAAACCCAGCGUGUCCUUUUCAGCCCUAUUUCACACAGAUCCGAAGCCAUUCAUUCCAAAAACCCCAAAUUUAUUUUGUUUUCUCCUCCUCCAACCCUAAGUUCCAAACUCAAUCCCCCCCAAACCCUCAACUCCAUCUCAUCCCUUGUUGCCGCCAUUAAGGUGCCUUUGUGCUGCCGUCGUCGUUACUGUGGUGGUGGUGCCACCAACUUUGCUCUUUGUAUUUGCUCAUUGUUAUUGUGAAAUUUCACAAUUCAAGUAAGUUCUAAACCCUAUGUAUGAUAUAUUUAAUUUAAUUGAAACCUAAUUCAUAUUUAUUUUGAUUAUAUUGGUGGUUUGUUUAUAUUGUGAGUAUUUAUUUUGAAUAUUUUGUAUAUGUAGAAUAUAUUUAAUUUAAUUGAAAUUCAAUUCAUAUUUAUUUUGAUUAUAUUGAUGGUUUGUUUAUAUUGUGAGUUUUUAUUUUCAUUAUUUUGUAUAUGUAGAAUGCAAGAUGAGAUAUUUAAUUUAAUUGAAAUCCAAUUCAUAUUUAUUUUGAUUAUGUUGAUGGUUUGUUUAUAUUGUGAGUAUUUAUUUUCAUUAUUUUGUAUAUGUAGAAUUAUUAUGGAACAGUUUUUUAAGAGAAAGUCAUCAUCGGGUUCGGGUAGUUCGAAUAAUGUUAAUAGUUCAAAUACUAUUGGUAGUUCAAGAACUCCAAGUUCAAGACAAAGUCAGUUUGAUGAUGUUUUGGGUAAUCUUGAAGCGGAUCUUGGAUUGAGAACUCGAAUAAUAGAUUAUGAUGCUAAUAUGAGAGAUGAGGUCCGAAUAUCAUAUCUACAAAAAGGACCUUGUCAACCUAGAGGUCAUAAUUUCCCAAUAACUAAUAUGUCGGGAAUUAAUCGACGCUUCAUUCCCCAAUGGUUUGAUGAGUUUGAUUGGUUGGAGUAUAGUAUAUCUAAAGAUGCGGCAUUUUGUCUCUAUUGUUAUCUCUUUAAAACCAAUUUUGCACAAGUAGAUAGUGAAGCUUUCACUGUAGAUGGAUUUAAGACUUGGAAGAAAGGGAGAGAAAGAUUUAAGAUGCAUGUUGGACCGGUUAGGCGUGUUUAUAAUAAGGCUAGAGAAGCUGCUACAAAUUUGAUGAAUCAAGCUGCACAUAUUGAAACGGCAGUGAGCAAACACUCCGACCAAGUUCGUAAGGCUUAUCGCACAUGCUUGAAUGCAUCAAUCAAGUGCACUAAGUUUUUAUUGCGACAAGGUCUUCCUUUUCGUGGCCACGAUGAAAGUGCCACUUCAAGCAAUAGGGGAAAUUACUUGGAGCUAUUGCAAUUCCUUGUAGAUAAUAAUGAUAAAGUUAGAGAAGUUGUGAUGGAAAAUGCUCUGGGGAAUCUCAAAUUACUAGCUCCUAGCAUUCAAAAAGAAAUUGUGAAUUCAUGUGCCCUUGAAACACUUGAUGCUAUCAUGGAUGGUCUAAAAGAUAGAUUCUUUUCAAUAUUGGUGGAUGAAGCACGUGAUGUGUCGAUGAAAGAGCAAAUGACUAUGAUGUUGCGUUAUGUGGAUGACAACGGGCAUGUAAUUGAAAGAUUUGUGGGUAUCUAACAUGUUACCAACACUACUUCAAGUUCACUAAAAGAUGCUAUUGACACAUUAUUUUUUCGCAACGGUUUGAGCAUUUCCAAGCUACGAGGACAAGGUUAUGAUGGUGCUAGCAAUAUGAAAGAUGAGUUGAAUGGCCUUAUAACAAAGAUAUUGAGAGAACAAUUUUGUGCAUAUUAUGUUCAUUGCUUUGCUCAUUAACUUCAACUAGCUCUUGUUGCCGUAGCAAAGAGGAAUAUAGACAUUGCCUAUUUUUUUGCAACGGCUAAUAGUGUGGUUAAUCAUGUUAGAGCAUCUUGUAAGCGGCGUGAUUUACUUAGAGGGCAACUUUAAGAAGAGCUUGUGAAUGCUUUUGAAAAUGAUUGUCUUAUAACGAGACGAGGCUUAAAUCAAGAAACAAGUCUCUAACGUGCCGGUGACACACGAUGGAACUCACACUAUGGUACCUUGAUUAGCAUCAUUUCCAUGUUUUCAUCCGUGGUUCAUGUGCUUCAAAUGGUUAUUGAUGAUAAUCCCAAUGAAAAUGCGGGUGAAGCAAAUAAGUUAAUGAGAGAAAUACGUACUUUUGAGUUUGUGUUUCACAUUUUCUUGAUGAAAGUCAUAUUGGGACUCACAAAUGAUUUGUCACAAGCAUUGCAAAGGAAAGAUCAAGAAAUUAUGAAUGCAAUGGCUUUAGUGAAAUCAUGCAAGGAAAAGCUACAUUGGAUGAGGAAUAAUGGGUUCGAUGCAUUAGUUGAUGAAGUAUCUACUUUUUGUGAAAAAACAUUAUAUUGAUGUUCCUAACAUGAAAGAGGCAUUUAUACUUCCAGGGAGGUCAAGCGUAAUGCUCCGAUAAAGACAAAUCGUCAUCAUUAUCGUGUGGAGCUCUUUAUUUAUGUCAUUGAUGAGCAAAUUACAGAGUUAGAAGAUCGCUUUAAUGAGGUAAAUACUGAGUUACUUAUUUGUUUGGCAUGUUUGAGUCCGAAAGAUUCAUUUGUAGCUUUUGAUAAACCAAAGUUACUUCGUCUUGCUCAAUUUUAUCCUUAAGACUUUUCGGAUGAGGAUCGUUUGACACUUGAAGAUCAACUUGAGAUUUAUAUUCAUUAUGUGCGUUCCAGUAGUGAUUUCUCUCAAUUGGAAGGGAUUGGUGAUCUUGCAAAAAAAAUGGUGGAGACAAGGAUGCAUCAAGUAUUCAAUUAUGUAUAUUUGCUCAUUACAUUGUCUUUAGUUUUACCAGUUGCAACUGCUUCAGUGGAGAGAGCAUUUUCUGUCAUGAAUAUUGUUAAGGGUCCACUUAGGAACAAAAUGGGAGAUCAAUGGUUGAGUGAUAAGAUUCCUGGCUCUGCCACUGUCCUUAAUGGUGAAACCUUUUCCAAGCAGAUACUAGACAUACAAAAAGAUUUAAGCUUAAAGACCUUAAUAUCCAGCUUUUGGGUAAUUGGUAAGUAUCUGCUAACCUUCCCUUAUACGUAAAAAAUUCUGAUAACCACAAUCAAGGCAACAACAAUAAAAAACAAAAGCAAAAAUUCCAUGCUUUAAGUAGAAAAAGCUCACUUCUGUUGUAAAACCCAUUCAUAAAGAUUUAGUCAACCAUUAACAAUCAUUCACUGUUGUAUCAAAUUGAAAACAAUAAAUUGUGUAAAUUUACAUUUGUUUUACUCAAUUUUUUUUUCAUUAAGCUUUCAUGUUACUGUAAAUUUAGGUGUUUUCUCUCUAUGUUGGUGUAUCUGCCUAAACUUGUUAAAUGUUGGUUAUCUUAUGCAAUUUUUGAUAUACUUAACAACCUUCUGCCUAUGAGCAAUGGAGCACCACAAAUUUAUCUACAUUAUGGUUGUUAGGACAAUGGAUUAGGCUGUAGGAUAAAUUUGGACAUACAGCUAACCCUAGAGGUGAUCUAAACAAUCUACAAAAGACUAAGAGCAAACCCUAAUAGUUAUGUAAACAAUACAAAAUAUCUAUGCUAGCAUUAAUGAUAGAAAAAAUAUCUAUGACAAUUUUAAUAAAUGGAAUGGCUAAUCAAAUAGUAAACAACAAUUAAAAACGAUAAACUGAAAAAGGGUUAACCCUAAGAUGAGCUAAACAAUCUACAAAGAUAUAUGACAAAUUUAAUGAAGGAACAAAAUAUCUCUAACAAUUCUAAAACAGAAAAAGGAUCAAUCACACAAAAAUUAAUCAAGAAACAAACAAAUUAAAUCAGUGGAAGACCCUAAUUGACUAAAACAGAGACAUAAUCCUAGCACCCAAUUGAACAAUUUAUAAACAUCCAUGGCAAUUUGAAUGAAAGAACAAAAUAUAAAUGAAAAUUUUAACAAAGCAAAUGGCAGUUGGACACUAAACAAUGAAAAAAAAGCAGUGCAUUACCUUUUGAAUCAAGGGAGAAAAUUGAAACCCAGACCUUGCCAUUCGUCCCUCAGCCAUCCCCUUAUCACCGACUCUGCGCAUAACCCAUUAACCCUAAAGACUACACACACCCAUGCUUUCCGCUCUGGGAGAUUCGGGAAAGAUGGAAUAAUUAUACAAAGAAGAGAAAUGAUUUGAAGUCUAUUGUUCGAUUUUCUUAUUAGCACAAAAUUUAAUCAAGCAAGGAUGAAUUGUUUUAUAAAUUACAGUUACGGAUCAUGAAAUUCAACAAGCAACAGCUGAAAUAGUUGUACAAGCAUAAAAAAAGGAUGCCGACUGACAUCUUUUAUUAAAGAUUAAGAUCAAAGGACUGACGAGAUUUAUAAUAGUAAGGAUGUAAGAGACAUCCUCAUGUCAAUGGGAGAAUUGAUGAAUACUUGACAAGGUUAAGGCCUUUCAAAUAUGUAGUCAAAUUUUUCUGCAGUCUUAAAGCAUGCACAACACAUUCAAAUUUGAUGAAGUAUAUAUGAAACAACCAACAGGGCUUCAUUGAUUCUCAAUUUCCAACACAUGUUUGCAAAUUGAAACAUUCUCUCUAUGGUCUUCAACAAGCCCCAAGGGCAUGGUUUCAAUGCUUUUCCAACCACCUGGAACAUUUCAGUUUUGUGGCUUCUCAGGUAGAUUCGUCUCUCUUUGUUUACUGUCAUGGUUUAGUUCGCAUUUAUUUACUAAUCUAUAUUGACGACUUCCUUAUCAUAGGCAAUAACAUCUAGUGCAUUAACACUUUGAUGAAGGACAUGGGCACAACUUUCUCCAUGAAGGAUCUUUGUCCUUUGACUUAUUUCUAGGCAUGGAGGUUCACCAAUCUAGCAAUGGGGUUCAUUUAUCUCACUCCAAGUACCAUGGACUUACUAAAACGCACAAAUAUGGUUGAUUGCAAACCAGUUUCCACACUUGCAAUCAGUGGCAAAUGACUCAACCUUUACGAUGGCAAACCAUUGUCAGACAUCACUAAAUUCAGAAGCGUGGUAGGUGCUCUUCAAUAUCUCACAUUCACACGUCCAGAUAUUGUGUGCUCUAUUAACUAGGUUUGCCAAUUCAUGCACAAAUCUACCACUACACACUGGAUUGUGGUCAAGAGAAUUCUUCGUUAUUUAAAAAGGAAAACUAAUGAAAAGGGCUUGAAAACUUUGAGUUUUAAUGAUAAGGACAAAAUAAAGGGUAAAGUGAAUAGUACCAGGAUUGACUUUUUAGUGUAAAAAUGUGGUUUUUCGUUAAAGUAAACAGUACCGGGUGCUUUUCGUUAAAAUUCCCUAUUUAAAAUCCCAUGGUCUUGUGUAUAAACCCGGACAUUUCACUCUUAUUGCCUUUGCUGAUUCUGAUUAUGCUAGAGACCCCGAUGAUCGCAUAUCAACAGAAGGAUAUUGCAUUUUUCUUGGUUCUAAUCUUGUGUCCUGGAGUUCCAAGAAACAAAAAGGUGUUUCUCAUUCAAGCACAGAGUUCGAGUAUCGCCAACUUGCCAUUAUUGUCGCCACAAUUUCAUGGUUUCGAAAGUUAUUCAAUGAUCUUCAUCUUCAGCUUUCUCCUCCAAAGGUGUGGUGUGACAAUAUUUCUGCAAUCUCCAUGGCUUCCAAACACAACAUGUUGAGGUGGACUACAUUAUAUUAGAGAGAAGGUACUCGACGCAAAAUUCAAGUGGGCUACGUAGCUACCCAAGAUCAAGUUGCAGAAUUUUUAACAAAAGGCCUGUCCACUUACCAGUUCAACCAUCUUCUGUCCAAGCUUCCCGUUCACCGGCAACCGCUCAGCUUGCGAGGGUGUGAUAAACCAAGUUUGAAAUCAAAGCUUCCCACCACAAAACUCACUGGAGAUCACAACGGAAUCAGUCAACAGGAAGGCUUAGGUAAAACUUCUCAACAGUCCAAUCCUUUGGUUGUUGAAUGAUUUUGAAUUCAAAUAGAUUAUUUGUUAAUUAUAUUAUCUGUAAAUUAUCUUUGGUUUGUUUUUGAAGAGUUUGUUCUUCACUCAAAUUCUACUUGUAAUCUCUAUAUAAACAUUAAUAUAAUACGCUCAAACUAUCGAGCACAAUUCUUAAAAGAAGAUUGAUUGACUAGAACCAUGUAGGUGAAAAAAUAGCAGGAAGAAGAUGAAGGGGGUGGUCGGAAUUUGAGGCUUACCGAUCAAGGGCGUAAGGGGAUGGGAUGGUAGUGAAAAACUAACGGGAAAACAGGAGAAACACAGAUAAAAAUAAAUAAUAAUAAAAAAAAAACAACGAAAAGGGGGUUGCCGCCGACCCUGACCACUGCUAAGGCCGGCAACCAAGCGAUCCGUCGGAAUUUUUACCACUCAAAACCCAGUGAGAAGACCUCUCACGCAGAGAGUAACUCUCACCUUUCAGGAGAGAAACAAAGACACGACACCUUUAGCAUCCAUCUUCAUUGCUUUGCUAUUAGAAAUGACGGAUGGAACCCAAACGUAUUCGCGAAGCCGACCAGCGUACCCCUCAAUCUACCACUUCCACCAGGUCCUCCUCCGUUUGCUACACUAUGUCGUCCAACUCUUCCACAUCGCUCUCUUACACCAAAAGACUGCCGCAAUUCUUCACCAAGCAGGGGCCUGAGCUUUUGAAAUGAAAAUUUAACUGAUUGCAACUGUAACCAACGCUUAUAUUACGAGACACACAGAGUAGCCAAAUAUGAUCUGAGACGGGCUGGACAUCCGAAGAAAGUAGAGGCGCAGGGUACACUUCCUUUCCAUUGACUUCCAAAACACCAGAAAGCUCCCAUCCGCUCCCAUAAACUUCAAAUACAGCGCACAGAGAAUAUCCCAUCAUCUUGUUUAACGCCAUUGUGGAGUUAGGUCGACGCUGACUUCUGGUCCCAUCCUUUGAUGAGUGAACCACCCAGGAAUUUCCUUUCCAGGCAUCACAAUUUCAUAUCCAUCUUCUGCAUAAGGGACUCCCUGUACAUGUGAAACAGUGAUGUUAAGCAAUGAGAGAGAGAGAGAGAGAGCACCUUAAGAUAUCUUUGGAGCACAGUAAAUGUAAUAUGAUUGUAGCAUUCUUUCUCAAGCAUUCCAAAGCAAUUGAUGAAAUUGAAGAAUGACAAAUUCAAUCUGCCCAAAUUUGAGGGACAUUCCAGCGUUUACAGUUUAGUACAAUCAUUUGCAGUUACUUGUAAAUCUACACCUGAUGAAAGAACUGGAAGGUGUUGAAGCUUCCUGCAACGACUCAAGUAUAAAUUCUCGAGCUUAGAGAGUUGGCUAAUGCUUGUAGGAAGACUAACAAAAUUGUUUCCACUUAAGUUCAAUGAUACCAAAGACGAUAAGCAGCCAAUAUCAUUGGGGAUUGCUCCUUCACAAAGAUUGUGACCACUUAAGUCUAAUUCCAUUAAAGAACAAAAACUGAUGGAAUGAUGAAGGCUCCCUGUUGGCAUUAAUCUAAAAGGGAGCGACGUACACCAUGGUCGUCGUGAUGGCCCUUCCAUUCCACGAAAGAUCAAUGCUUUAAGGUUUUUCAGCAGGGCAAUGGAUAUGGGCAUUCCUUUAUACCAGUUCCACUUAAAUUAAUCUUCUCCACAAACUCUAAUUUCCCGAGGCUUUCUGGCAAUUUGGCAAAAGAUUUGAGCAUCCAGACACAUCAAAAACUUUUAACAGCCCUCAAAUUUCCAAUGGCACUAGGAAGACAUUUCAGAUUUUUGCAAUCUCUCAAGUCCAAUAAAGAAAGACUAGUUAGAUGUUCAACUGAUGAAAGUAUACUUUCACCGGUCCCAUCUAAAGAAAGCUUCCGUAAAUGCUCCAUAGGUUCCACAAAAUUCGGUAUCCUUUUAAUGCUUGAGCAGCCAGAAAGAACUAGAACUUCAAGGUGCUCCAUUUCAAUCUCAUCCGGAAGAAGCUCGAGACUUUCGCAAUCUUUAAGGGUCAAGAAAGAAAGCUUUUUGAGAGUUCCUAUGGAAAAGUGAAUCUCAACCAGACUUUCGCAUCCCUCAAGAUCUAAUCCCUCAAGAUUCUGAAUCCCCUCAAAAUCAGGGGUUCUAGUCAAACUUUUGGAAUGACUAACUGUAAUGAUUUUUAACUUGUCAAAAUUCUGUAAUGUUUCCAAGAAAUGUAGAAUAAUUAGAUCUAGAAAACUCAAAUAAAGGUCGUACCCAGUGCACAAGGCUCCCGCUUUACGCAGGGUCUGGGAGAAGUGAAAUAAGGUAAUGAAAUAUAUUCUUUAACAAAUAAGGUAAAUAAUAUUGUAGAUGUAAGUGUAUACCUUUUUUCCGUUCCAGAGCUGUUCAAUUCUACUAUGACACAUGCUAAGUUCAACAAGCUCAUCCGGGUCGAAUCCUGAUGGGAGAUAUUGUAGAGGAUAACCUCCCCAUUCAAGAAAUCUCAAGGAAUUAGGGAGACGGUUGAGGCCUUCAGGAAGGCGCACGUUAUGGACUUUGAGCAAUCUAAGAUUAACCAUCUGAUAAAAAGCUUCAGGAUGGCAUUCGACCUCUUUUGUUUCAAGCAAGUCUAGGACAAUG
rnacentral:lncRNA from 1 species